rnacentral:misc_RNA from 1 species
UGGCUCUGGCAUCGAUGAAGAACGCAGCGAAAUGCGAUACGUAAUGUGAAUUGCAGAACUCAGUGAAUCAUCGAAUCUUUGAACGCACAUUGCGCCUCCUGGUAUUCCGGGAGGCAUGCCUGUCCGAGCGUCAUUUCAACCCUCAGGCUCUGCCUGGUCUUGGGCCCUGCCGGCAACGGCUGGCCUUAAAUGCAGUGGCGGUGCCCCUGGGCUCUAUGCGUAGUAACUGCUCUCGCAUCUGGGUUCCGGGGGUCGCUGGCCAGAACACCACACUUCUUUGGUUGACCUCGGAUCAGGUAGGGAUACCCGCUGA